GAGUCUCGAUCAGAUCAAUUUGUAUCCCGAACAAUCAGCAAACGUUAUUGUUCUACAGUCUAUUUGCUACUCUCUAAAGUUGGACAUUUUCAAUCUAUCCCACAAAAUCAGGAUUGAUUUACCUUCAACCCAAUCUCAACAAAUCACUAUUGAAAUCAACUUAUCAACAACCACUCCUAUUAUCUUGGUUUUCGUCUAUCGCUACGCCCUAGGACUCCCCUUCUAUAACCAUCAUUUUACUCUCUCGCUAUCUCUAUGAAAACCUUAGAAAUUUGAAUGAACCACCACCACCUUACCUCCGGUGCUACACCCCAACUGCCUCUGCUGAUCUAAACCGAUAAACAAACACCACAGCCAAUACCACAACACCACAUCUCUUCCACCAUCGCAUGAUUUCCAUCACUUCCUUCUCAGUCUCUCUUACUUGAGAUUUGUUUUCCUACUCAUGCAUCUUACCGCUACUGAAAAAGACAGAACAAAAGCACCAAAUGAUUAGGUUGAAGAGCUUCGUCUUCACCUCCAAAUUGGAAAAAAGUUGUUGAUGAGAGGCAUGCAGGAUUACUGGUGGCUUCUGCAGUUGUCGGAGCAUGAUCUAAAUUGAUAAAUUUAUAAAUAAGACAAAUAAGCAACAUGCCCAUAAGUGGUUUUCAUAAGAAUGUUUGUAACAUACACCAUUCACUAUAACCUUAGUUAAUAAUUUGUUUUCAUCUCUCUUUUUGUUUUUGUGGCAUACAUUGCACAAAUUAGUAGAUAGAGUAAAGUAUAUUUCUAUUUUCUGCACUUUA